rnacentral:rRNA from 1 species
UACGGGGGGAGCAAGCGUUGUUCGGAUUUACUGGGCGUAAAGGGCGCGUAGGCGGCCACCGCAAGUCGACUGUGAAAUCUCCGGGCUUAACUCGGAAAGGUCAACUGAUACUGUGCGGCUAGAGUGCGGAAGGGGCAACUGGAAUUCUUGGUGUAGCGGUGAAAUGCGUAGAUAUCGAGAGGAACACCAGUGGCGAAGGCGAGUCUCUGGACAAUUCCUGACGCUGAGGCACGAAAGCCAGGGGAGCAAACGGG